rnacentral:tRNA from 1 species
GGGGCUGUAGCUCAGUUGGGAGAGCACCUGCUUUGCAAGCAGGGGGUCAAGGGUUCGAAUCCCUUCAGCUCCACCA